rnacentral:rRNA from 1 species
CCUAACACAUGCAAGUCGAGCGGUAGAGAGAAGCUUGCUUCUCUUGAGAGCGGCGGACGGGUGAGUAAUACCUAGGAAUCUGCCUGAUAGUGGGGAUAACGUUCGGAAACGGACGCUAAUACCGCAUACGUCCUACGGGAGAAAGCAGGGGACCUUCGGGCCUUGCGCUAUCAGAUGAGCCUAGGUCGGAUUAGCUAGUUGGUGAGGUAAUGGCUCACCAAGGCUACGAUCCGUAACUGGUCUGAGAGGAUGAUCAGUCACACUGGAACUGAGACACGGUCCAGACUCCUACGGGAGGCAGCAGUGGGGAAUAUUGGACAAUGGGCGAAAGCCUGAUCCAGCCAUGCCGCGUGUGUGAAGAAGGUCUUCGGAUUGUAAAGCACUUUAAGUUGGGAGGAAGGGCAUUAACCUAAUACGUUGGUGUCUUGACGUUACCGACAGAAUAAGCACCGGCUAACUCUGUG